rnacentral:rRNA from 1 species
GACCUCUUCACCGUGCUGAAUCGGACCCUGUUGCUUCAGCGGGCUGGAGGGUGAUGCUAGCCCAUCGCCUUCCACUCCGAUGCCCGCUGGAGACCCUUUUAAUGCUGAAACGAAUGCCGUCUGAGUGGGAAUAAAAAUCUAGUCGCAAAACUUUCAACAAUGGAUCUCUUGGUUCCGGCAUCGAUGAAGAACGCAGCGAAAUGCGAUAAGUAAUGUGAAUUGCAGAAUUCCGUGAAUCAUCGAAUCUUUGAACGCAUAUUGCGCCCUCUGGUACUCCAGAGGGCAUGCCUGUCCGAGUGUCAUUGCCUCUCUCCAAGCCGAGCUUGGGUGUUGGGCUGUCGUCCCCUCCCCGGCUGCGGGGCUGGGACGGGCCUGAAAGACAACGGCGGUGUCACGGUCAAAUCUCCGAGCGUAUGGGCUUUUCCCCGCUCCAUGGGUUUGAUGGGCGCCUGCC